UACGUAGGGGGCGAGCGUUGUCCGGAUUUAUUGGGCGUAAAGAGCUCGUAGGCGGUUUGGCAAGUCGGGUGUGAAAACUCCGGGCUCAACUCGGAGACGCCACUCGAUACUGCCAUGACUCGAGUCCGGUAGGGGAGUGCGGAAUUCCUGGUGUAGCGGUGAAAUGCGCGGAUAUCAGGAGGAACACCGGUGGCGAAGGCGGCACUCUGGGCCGGUACUGACGCUGAGGAGCGAAAGCGUGGGGAGCGAACGGG
rnacentral:rRNA from 1 species